rnacentral:tRNA from 1 species
GCGGGUGUGGUGGAAUUGGUAGACACGCUUGGUUUAGGUCCAAGUGCCAAAAGCUUGGGGGUUCGAGUCCCUCCACCCGCA